GGACACGUGGGUGAGUGGCUGAAACCACCGGUUUGCUAAACCGGCAUACGGGGAUUACCCGUAUCGAGGGUUCGAAUCCCUCCGUGUCCGCCA
rnacentral:tRNA from 1 species